rnacentral:rRNA from 1 species
GGAAGGGAUGUAUUUAUUAGAUUAAAAACCAAUGCCCUCUGGGCUCCUUGGUGAUUCAUGAUAACUUUUCGAAUCGCACGGCCUUGCGCCGGCGAUGGUUCAUUCAAAUUUCUUCCCUAUCAACUUUCGAUGUUUGGGUAUUGGCCAAACAUGGUCGCAACGGGUAACGGAGGGUUAGGGCUCGACCCCGGAGAAGGAGCCUGAGAAACGGCUACUACAUCCAAGGAAGGCAGCAGGCGCGCAAAUUACCCAAUCCCGAUUCGGGGAGGUAGUGACAAUAAAUACUGAUACAGGGCUCUUUUGGGUCUUGUAAUUGGAAUGAGUACAAUUUAAAUCCCUUAACGAGGAACAAUUGGAGGGCAAGUCUGGUGCCAGCAGCCGCGGUAAUUCCAGCUCCAAUAGCGUAUAUUAAAGUUGUUGUGGUUAAAAAGCUCGUAGUUGAACCUUGGGCCUGGCUGGCCGGUCCGCCUCACCGCGUGUACUGGUCCGGCCGGGCCUUUCCCUCUGUGGAACCUCAUGCCCUUCACUGGGUGUGGCGGGGAAACAGGACUUUUACUUUGAAAAAAUUAGAGUGCUCCAGGCAGGCCUAUGCUCGAAUACAUUAGCAUGGAAUAAUGAAAUAGGACGUGUGGUUCUAUUUUGUUGGUUUCUAGGACCGCCGUAAUGAUUAAUAGGGACAGUCGGGGGCAUCAGUAUUCAAUUGUCAGAGGUGAAAUUCUUGGAUUUAUUGAAGACUAACUACUGCGAAAGCAUUUGCCAAGGAUGUUUUCAUUAAUCAGGAACGAAAGUUAGGGGAUCGAAGACGAUCAGAUACCGUCGUAGUCUUAACCAUAAACUAUGCCGACUAGGGAUCGGACGAUGUU